CCAAGGCUGUAUCUGACACGGGACCGUGCCCUGCCCCACACUCACACCACGGGCACACAGGACUGUCAGCCACUGUCUUGGUUACCACCAGCCAGCCCAACCCUCUCCCAGCUGGGCAUGCGGGAGACCCCAGGUGCACGCCAGGGGAGCUGAAUGAUUUUCCUACAUCUUUUGGCGAAGGUUCUUUCUCCUGGAUACGAGGAUUCAGGAACUUACUGAUUACUUGGUGCUAAUGCCUUAGAUUCUCAGUGGCCACCCCAGCUGUCCUCUGGCCCUCACACGCCCAGCUGACAGAGCUCCAGCCCCACUGGCCAUCUGGGCCUGAGGAGGCUGCGCCCUUCUGUCAGGAGGGUACCUCUGCGAGGGUAAACACGCCACAUACCAGCCGCUUAAUCGCCCUCGCUGGCCACGAUAAAUUCCACCAGACGAGUGUGCCCGUUAACAUUUCCGAUUACCAUGGUGAGGAGCAACUGAAAUGGAACGAGAUGGCCCGUAAAACAGCCUGCGGCAGGCUUCUCCAAAGGGGGUACAUCUGAGGGCGGCG
rnacentral:lncRNA from 1 species